CAAUAAGAGGCUGCAGUGAGUGUUCUUUUGCACUGUCCAUAAGGCAGCAUGUAACUGGGAGUGGAUCAUGCGAUCAUAGCUGGGAAAGCUCUGCUAAGAGUCCCAGUGCAGUGCGAGAGCCCAAAAAGUGAACACACAGCUGCCCUGCGUUGGUCCUUUUGCUUUUUUUGGUGGGCAUCACCUAUAAACCUUUUUAUUUUCCCACCGUCUCCAACUUAAUUUAUACACCACAGUAUACAGAAGGGCAGGAUGGACUUUGGAGUGAUUGGUUCCCAUUCUGGGUUGGUAAUGGUUGGCCAGUUAUUUUUGGCUGGAGCAACUGUCCUCAGUUCUUUCAACUUGUAUGUUUUUAAGCCCUAUGACACUUAUAAUGACUUUCUUCAAGGCGAAUAUUCCUUUUGCCGGAGUCAGCGUUUAUGUUGCGUGAUGAUGUUGAUAAUUGGUUGAACUGCUGUAUGCCCUCAUCCAUGACUCCAAGGUUCAACUGGGAAAGUUCCUGGUCAUUAUCCUAUGAUCUUCGUUGCAGAAGUGGCAGCCUUUGUUCUGGAUGUAUUUAUAGAGGAAAGAUAAAAACAGAUGUGCAUGAACCAAUGGUACACAAAUUCAUGGUCUAUGAUGGGGAAAGUGGAGAGUCUUCGGCCAUAGAUAACUUACAAAGAGAG